rnacentral:rRNA from 1 species
CCUACGGGAGGCUGCAGUGGGGAAUAUUGCACAAUGGGCGCAAGCCUGAUGCAGCCAUGCCGCGUGUGUGAAGAAGGCCUUCGGGUUGUAAAGCACUUUCAGCGGGGAGGAAGGCGUUAAGGUUAAUAACCUUGUCGAUUGACGUUACCCGCAGAAGAAGCACCGGCUAACUCCGUGCCAGCAGCCGCGGUAAUACGGCGGGUGCAAGCGUUAAUCGGAAUUACUGGGCGUAAAGCGCACGCAGGCGGUCUGUCAAGUCGGAUGUGAAAUCCCCGGGCUCAACCUGGGAACUGCAUUCGAAACUGGCAGGCUAGAGUCUUGUAGAGGGGGGUAGAAUUCCAGGUGUAGCGGUGAAAUGCGUAGAGAUCUGGAGGAAUACCGGUGGCGAAGGCGGCCCCCUGGACAAAGACUGACGCUCAGGUGCGAAAGCGUGGGGAGCAAACAGGAUUAGAUACCCCGGUAGUC